rnacentral:rRNA from 1 species
GACGAACGCUGGCGGCGUGCUUAACACAUGCAAGUCGAGCGGUAAGGCCCUUUCGGGGUACGACUAGCGGCGAACGGGUGAGUAACACGUGGGUGACCUGCCCUCAGCUCUGGGAGUAAAGCCUGGGAAACUGGGUCUAAUACUGGAUAUGACUCCACGGUGCAUGUCGUGGGGUGGAAAGCCUUGUGCGGCUGAGGAUGGGCCCGCGGCCUAUCAGC